CGCACAUCGCGCCCUUUGGCAUUCCGAGGGGCAUGCCUGUUCGAGCGUCAUUACACCACUCAAGCCUGGCUUGGUAUUGGGCGGCGGGAUCCCCCGCGCCUCCAUUUCGCCGGCUGGACGACCCGAAUCUCAGCGUCGUGGCAUUAAAUUCGCCGACGAGGAGGGUCUUCCGCGCCGUUAAAACUUCUCCUCAAGGUUGACCUCGGAUCAGGUAGGGAUACCCGCUGAACUUAA
rnacentral:misc_RNA from 1 species